rnacentral:rRNA from 1 species
GACGAACGCUGGCGGCGUGCUUAACACAUGCCAGUCGAACGGAAAGGCCCUGCUUUUGUGGGGUGCUCGAGUGGCGAACGGGUGAGUAACACGUGAGUAACCUGCCCUUGACUUUGGGAUAACUUCAGGAAACUGGGGCUAAUACCGGAUAGGAGCUCCUGCUGCAUGGUGGGGGUUGGAAAGUUUCGGCGGUUGGGGAUGGACUCGCGGCUUAUCAGCUUGUUGGUGGGGUAGUGGCUUACCAAGGCUUUGACGGGUAGCCGGCCUGAGAGGGUGACCGGCCACAUUGGGACUAAGAUACGGCCCAGACUCCUACGGGAGGCAGCAGUGGGGAAUAUUGCACAAUGGGCGGAAGCCUGAUGCAGCAACGCCGCGUGCGGGAUGACGGCCUUCGGGUUGUAAACCGCUUUCGCCUGUGACGAAGCGUGAGUGACGGUACUGGGUAAAGAAGCACCGGCUAACUACGUG